rnacentral:misc_RNA from 1 species
AAGUCGUAACAAGGUUUCCGUAGGUGAACCUGCGGAAGGAUCAUUACAGCGAAAAGGAUACACUGAUUUGGCGUUGUGCAACCAACAGCUUACUCAAGUCAAAAAAAAAUUAAAUGGAAUAACUUCCAACAACGGAUCUCUUGGCUCUC